rnacentral:lncRNA from 1 species
UCCUUUGUGGUCCUUAACACCAUUCAUUUAGCAGCACAAUCCAGGGUCGCCUUAUGCUUAACAAGCCAGUCCAUUCCCAAAAUGAGAUCAAACUUUCCGAACGGUAACUCCAUCAGAUCUCCAGGGAAAAUCCUACCUUGAGUUUCUAAGGGUACAUCCCUAUACAGUUUGUCUACUCUAACCGAGUGACCCAAAGGACUUAGUACAGAUACCCCACUCACAAUCUCCU